rnacentral:rRNA from 1 species
AGUCGAACGGGAAAUAUUUAUUGAAACUUCGGUCGAUUUAAUUUAUUUCUAGUGGCGGACGGGUGAGUAACGCGUGGGUAACCUGCCUUAUACUGGGGGAUAACAGCCAGAAAUGACUGCUAAUACCGCAUAAGCGCACAGAACCGCAUGGUUCGGUGUGAAAAACUCCGGUGGUAUAAGAUGGACCCGCGUUGGAUUAGCUAGUUGGCAGGGCAGCGGCCUACCAAGGCGACGAUCCAUAGCCGGCCUGAGAGGGUGAACGGCCACAUUGGGACUGAGACACGGCCCAGACUCCUACGGGAGGCAGCAGUGGGGAAUAUUGCACAAUGGGGGAAACCCUGAUGCAGCGACGCCGCGUGAAGGAAGAAGUAUCUCGGUAUGUAAACUUCUAUCAGCAGGGAAGAUAAUGACGGUACCUGACUAAGAAGCCCCGGCUAACUACGUGCCAGCAGCCGCGGUAAUACGUAGGGGGCAAGCGUUAUCCGGAUUUACUGGGUGUAAAGGGAGCGUAGACGGCGCAGCAAGUCUGAUGUGAAAGGCAGGGGCUUAACCCCUGGACUGCAUUGGAAACUGCUGUGCUUGAGUGCCGGAGGGGUAAGCGGAAUUCCUAGUGUAGCGGUGAAAUGCGUAGAUAUUAGGAGGAACACCAGUGGCGAAGGC